rnacentral:ncRNA from 1 species
GUGUCUACUCCACAUAAUAGACACAGACCGCCGAAAGAAGGAGGAAGAACCAUCCGCAGACUUGCGGUGCGGCAGUGUGGAGACCUGUCGUAAUGCGCAGCCUUCCGGCGUGGAGGUGCGCGAGGUACGGGCAAGCGGAGGCUCCCGUAUCAAAGUCCGUUGCAUGGCA